UACGUAGGGCGCAAGCGUUGUCCGGAAUUAUUGGGCGUAAAGGGCGCGUAGGCGGCCGUUUGCGUCGGAUGUGAAAGCCCGGGGCUCAACCUCGGAACGGCAUUCGAUACGGGACGGCUGGAGACCGGGAGAGGAGAGUGGAAUAGCCAGUGUAGAGGUGAAAUUCGUAGAUAUUGGCUGGAACACCGGUGGCGAAAGCGGCUCUCUGGCCCGGUUCUGACGCUGAGGCGCGAAAGCGUGGGGAGCAAACAGG
rnacentral:rRNA from 1 species